rnacentral:rRNA from 1 species
GACGAACGCUGGCGGCGUGCUUAACACAUGCAAGUCGAACGGAAAGGCCCUGCUUUUGUGGGGUGCUCGAGUGGCGAACGGGUGAGUAACACGUGAGUAACCUGCCCUUGACUUUGGGAUAACUUCAGGAAACUGGGGCUAAUACCGGAUAGGAGCUCCUGCUGCAUGGUGGGGGUUGGAAAGUUUCGGCGGUUGGGGAUGGACUCGCGGCUUAUCAGCUUGUUGGUGGGGUAGUGGCUUACCAAGGCUUUGACGGGUAGCCGGCCUGAGAGGGUGAACGGCGACAUUGGGACUGAGGUACGGACCAGAAUCGUACGGGAGGCAGCGGGGGGGAAUAUUGCGCAAUGGGCGGGAGCGUGAUGCAGCAACGCCGCGUGCGGGAUGACGGCCUUCGGGUUGUAAACCGCUUUCGCCUGUGACGAAGAGUGAGUGACGGUAAUGGGUAAAAAAGCACCGGCUAACUACGUG